ACCCAUAAUUCAGCUGCUUUAUGUCUAUAGUACUGUUAUCCUUUAAUAAUGUUUGUUGUACUAUUUACUUUAUGUCAUAACAACUACUAUUUGUUACUAUUUACUAUUUUGUUGUAUUAUCCCUCAUUUGGCUAUAAAAGGAGAAGAAAUUAGUAUGUAAGAUCAUCGAGCUUUCUAUCAAUAAAAUACCAGUGUGUUUUAAUACCCAUGGCCUUCUAAAUUCUCUCUUUUUCUCAUGCAGCGGUAGUCAUUGGAAAACUUCAUGUUCAACAGCAUCCAUGGGCUUGAUCUCUUUAGGUACAGAAGGAAGGCACGUGGAUUUUACCAGAUUACUGAUUAGCUUCAGAAGGUUGUGCGUUGGCAUUGAAAUUGUCAAACCCGCCACUUGUUGGGGCAGUAGGAUUGGCCUGAUAUGGUGCAGAUGUAGUGGGUGCUCCGUUAGAAGAAGUGGGUGUCGUUGCAGUUCCAGAAACUGUUGUUGGGGGAGCCAAUGUAGGAGGUCGUGGAAGGCCAUUUACUUGUCCAGGCAAAGGAGCACCAGGUGGUGCCAUCAUUGGUGGCAUGCCUGGAACGGGAAUAUAACCUGGCAAUGAAACCAAAAUGAAAAUUUAAUAUUUUUAAAUUCAAUUCCAUUUUAUGUUUGUAUUUGAGAUCCAUAAUGGAAAAGCCGACGCCAGAGCCAAUCAAACAAGAUGAAGUGCUUAACAUAUAAA